UGGGGGAUAUUGCACAAUGGGCGAAAGCCUGAUGCAGCGACGCCGCGUGGGGGAUGAAGGCUUUCGGGUUGUAAACCUCUUUCGCUAUCGAACAAGGCCCGCUUAGGGUGGGUUGAGGGUAGGUGGAGAAGAAGCGCCGGCUAACUACGUGCCAGCAGCCGCGGUAAUACGUAGGGCGCGAGCGUUGUCCGGAAUUAUUGGGCGUAAAGGGCCUGUAGGCGGCUUGUUGCGCCUGCUGUGAAAACGCGGGGCUUAACUUCGCGCGUGCAGUGGGUACGGGCAGGCUUGAGUGUGGUAGGGGUGACUGGAAUUCCAGGUGUAGCGGUGGAAUGCGCAGAUAUCUGGAGGAACACCGAUGGCGAAGGCAGGUCACUGGGCCAUUACUGACGCUGAGGAGCGAAAGCAUGGGUAGCGAACAGG
rnacentral:rRNA from 1 species